ACUUUAGAUGCACAUUCUAUUGGACAAUCUGAAAAUAAUGCUAUUUUUAUGUGUGUGUGGAUAUGUGUGAAUUAACUUAGAUAUGUAUAUAGAGGUCAGUGUGUGCGUGUAUGUGUGUGUAUAUGUGUGUUUGUGUGUGUGUGGAAAGAGAGACGGACAGAGAGACAGAGACAGAGAGACAGAGACAGAAUCUGUUCUAAGCAGCCAUGACGUUUCCAACAGACAGAAAUUUCUAAAAUGUUGUCUUUCUAAUAAUUACAGCCACGUAUGUUCUGCUUAUCUAUUUCUACAUCAUAAACUCCCACAAAACUUAAUGAGUUAAAACAGCAAUAUAUUAUCUUUCAUGAUUUGAGGGAGGGAUGGGCAGAACUAUUCGGUCGUCAUUUGGGGUCCCUAAUAUAGAUGCAGUCAGAUGGCAACUGAGGCUGGAGUCAUCAGAAAGCUUCUUCGACCUUCUUUCACUUAGCCUGAGAUGCCUGGACUAAGGGGGAAGUUGGUCAUCUCUCUCUCUACAUGACCUCUUCCUGUGGCUACCUUGGCCUCCCUCACAGCCUGACAAUCUCAAAAGUUGGACUUCUUCCCUGGUGACUCAGAACUCCAAGAGAUUCAAGGGGAGGAAGCAUGCAUCUUGAUUCUCAAUGGGAGAACUGUCAAAAGAUUGAGGCCAUCUGUGAUCACAGAUGUUGUGAAUAUAUAUGUACAUGGCACAUAGAUGUAUCACACAGAUAUACACGCCUUCUGUACUAGGCUGCACUGUAUGUAAUUCUGUACGUGGACUACUCCCUGUACUGAUGGGGUUUUAUUUCCCUUACUUCACCUCUUCCUCACAACUCUACCAGGUGGCUAUUGUAAUUCCCUUUUUUGCAUAUUUGGAAGUAAAUACAGAGUAAUUUGUUCUAGGUUAGAUAGCUAAGCAUUAGUGAUUCAAGUGGAAUUUGAAUCUAGUGAUGUAAGAACGUUAAUCCUGGGAAUUGCUAGGAUGAUGUGAUUAUCUAGAAGACGCUUCACCAGGGAAUGUACCUAAAUGCUCAUGGCUUUACAAAAUCAUAGAAAUUUUGAGCUUGGAAGAAAUUUAGGGAUUAUCUUUCUUAACAUCAUUUUUUCAUAUAAAGAAAUGGAUUUUCAGGAAAAAUAGGAAAGCAAUGCUACGAAGUAUAGUGGCCAUAGUCUGAGAGACUUGACUUGCAACCCUGUGGCUCUGUCCUUAUCUUCUGUGGAACCUCUAAACACUAUCACCUUCCGUUCCUCCAUCUGUUCCAUAGUUAUCUAUCUGUUGCAGCAUAACAAACUGCUCCAAAGCUUAGAGUCUUCAAACAGCCCAAAUUUACUAUAUCUCUGGACUGUGCGGUUACCUGGGAGUUUUUCUGCCAAUCUUAAUUUGAGUUUGCUCAGGUGCUGCUUGUUCCCCUGAGCCUGAGAUCAGUGGAGACAACUGAAUUGUCAGAAAUCUUUCUGCAAGUGGUCUUUCAUUGCAAGCUUCCUCACUGCAUGACAAUCUCAGGGCAGCAUCCCCAAAUGCAAAGGCAGAAGCUGCAGUCCUGUUGAGGUCCAAGCUCUGGAACUCACUUGAUGUAACUUCUGCCAGUUUCUAUUGAUAGAAGCAACUCACAUGGCUGGACCAGAUUCAAGGUGAGGUGAAAUGGAUUCCACAUCUUUACGGCAGGAGCUGCCCAUAACACACAGCCGUAUUGAAUCGACCACAAUCUCUAACGUGGAAACAUAAACUGAAAAGUGUCUUAUAACAACAAAAUAAUAACAUUUGUAAAGUGUUUAAUGCAGUACUUGGAUUUUCAAUAAAUUUUCAACACAUAACUUCUGCUGUUUUUCAUGUUAUAAUGGUUGUUUGUGAGGACUUCUCAACAACCAGUUUAUUUACAAAUUCAGACUUUGUGAUCAGGUUAUAUAAUACAUGGUUUUGUAUUCUUUCUUCUCCAGAUAGUGGCUUUGUUUGGUGUGUAUUUCAAAUUCUGCUUCAAGGUUAAAAGUAAUUUACUUUUGGACUGCCAGCUCCUCUAGUCCCAAACCAGCUCCCCCAUCUCCUUUACUUCUUGUUAUUUUUCUCUAUAGGAUAUAUCACUAUCUAACAUAAAUAUAUAUUUCAUUUAUUUCCCCUUAUGUCUAGAAUGUAAUAUUCAUGAGAGAAGUACCAUUAUACGUUUUCUUUCCUUAUGUAACCCCAGGGACUAGAAACUAACUGAUACAUAGUAGGUGUUCAACGUGUGGGGUGAGCAGAUGUGUGCAUGAACGAUUAUUCCACCUGUUUCAAGAUCCAUUCCACAUCGACAAACGGUAGCACAAGCAUUAACCACAUUGAUUUUCUUGUAAAGCGAAAUUAGCAAAACUUGUUUAACAUCAGCAGCUUUUUUGAAUAUUUGGUUUUCUUUUGGUGACACCUAUAUUUCAAAGAGAUCUCCCUCCUGCCAGAGAAAAGAAUAUCUACUGGACAGCAUGUCAUUCUUUUCCGUGUAUUUUAAACAUUCCCAAAAUAAGUCUAAAUGCAUCAUCACCUCAUAGAAAUUUUUAAAAAUAGGAUUUUUAGCUCUUGGCUCAAUGUCAAGGAACUUGGAUUAUGUUCAAGAACCCACGAAUCCUAACAUACCUUCUGAAGUUCCCCUGUAAUCCUGUGGAAUAAUGACUAUUUUUCUUUACAUAUUUGUUUAAAGAGUCAGAUUAGGAAUAACUUAAUUGUUGAAAAGCAUCUAUGAAUUAUGAUACCUCCUAAUAAAGGAUUAUAUUUGUGUUUUGCAGUUAAUAUGGAAAGCAGAAUGGACUACUUUGCCCAAAAUCCAAAGUGUAAAUGUGUGAGGCUUCACUAUGAGACGAUAAGGUUUUUGGGCAAUAAGAUUAUUAUUUUUAAAACCUGAUUUCUUUCUCAGUGGAAAAUGCUAUUAUUACUAAAAUCCCUCUUUUUAAACGGGAUAAAAUGACUUUUAACACAGAAUGUAAGAUUUCAAGACAAAUAUUACAUAAGCACUCUUACUUUAAUCUCUCUGUUAUGAAGUUAGCUGAUACAAGUGAAGAUAAUUCAUCUCAGUAAACACAAAUAUUAAACGUUUUGUAAAAAAUAAAGAACAGAAUGCAAAUACAAAGUGAUUUUAUUUUCCAUGCAGUUUUUCUCCUAAAAGAGUUUGGUGGAUCCUUGGAAAAUAUAGGGAACUUUCAAAAUCGCUUUUCUGCCAUGAUUAAUAGUAUCAUAAAAAUAACCUUUUCUUUUUUCCAAUUUAUAAAUUUAUUACUUAUCCCACUUGAUUUGAAAAUAGAGAUAUGAGGAAGGUAGGACAGAUAUAAUUAUCUGAAUUGUAAGGUAGAUUUACUGAAGUUUAGAGAAUUUGCAUCACAAGUCACACAACUAGUAUGUAUUUUAACUAAGAUUGGAAGCUGGAUAUUCUAGCUUCUAAUCCCGGGGUUCUCCUAUCGUCACAGCAACCUCUGUAGGCUUCACACCCAUAAUCUGUGACCUGUGACUGCAUAGAAUCUUCACAAGAACACUGUAAAGUAAAUGUUAUUAGCCUCACUCUUCAGAUGGCAAGACUGAGGUUAAGAAAGGGCCUUAAGUCAUAGAGCUGACAAGUGGCAGAGUGGGCAACUGAAUCCGAGUUUGUCUGCAUCUAUAAUAAAUGAUCUUUCCUUCAUGCUCUCUGACCUUUCUAGACCUCUAGACUGUUGGUACAUUGACAAGGAGACAUCAGGGGAAUAAUCACAUUGGACAAAGAAAGCAUCCAUGUUUACCAAACGCCUUAGACAGUCAAGGUACCAAGGGAAGUUGACUCUUUACAGUGUGUCUAUAGGGAAAAGACUUUCAGCUGCUCUGAUCAAUGGCCAAUACACUAAGGAGACAAAUACAGCCUCCGUAGUUCAAUGCUCAUGCCACCAGGAAAAGACCAAAAUGAUACUGCAGUUUUAUGACCAAGAUAAUUCACCUGUUGUUGGAGUAAAUAUCCUGAAGAUUUAAGAAAGCUAGAAAAAUGUAGGUGUGAGAGCACAAUUUUAUUAUCAAAAUCAAUAUAUUAUAUUUAAUGUAUGCUUUGGCCAGAAGAAAAACCCAAGUAACAGGAUGAGGAACCUGAAUAUAAGAAAAAGGUUUUAGAAAACAAUAAAGGGUAAGGUUCAAAAUGAGAAACCAAAAACAAACCUUCUAAGAAGAAGGAAGUUAGGGAAAAAUAUCAUCCGUAACAAAACAAUGCAAUGGAAGUUGCAUUUAACUAGAAAAGAGUCUAAUGGGAACAUCCUAAGUCAUGAUAAGGCCAGAGCCUGAAGGGUGGAUCACAGAGUCCACAGUAGAUACUAUGUUAGGCUUCUGGUUCUCUUCAUAAGAAAUCGUGACCCAAACCCAAAGACAGACAAAUAAGUACUAGAUGAUGGAUGAACAGAUGGAUAAAUAGAUAAUAGAUUUCUGUAAGUUGAAAACGCAGAUGCUGGUGAAUAGGUUGUUAUACCUCAUUUGGCCAAGUUUAUGGAUUUCAAUUCUUUCAUUGAAGCAUUCAUUUCUUCACUAAAAUGCUGUCCAAAUCUGUUAAAUUGAUGAAUGCAUAAGUUUAUUUGUCCUGGAAACAAAUGCUUACAGAUUUUCUUUGGUUCCUUUUCUAAAAUAUUUAAAAUUUUUGUUGUACUGACCUUUAGGAUACUCUGGUUUAGUUUUUAAUUAUCAUGAUCAUUAAUGUCAUUGGUUUUCCCUAAUUAAAACCCUCUGCUUUAACAUAAAAAAAAAUAGAAUGUGUAAAUAUGCUUCAUAAGCCAAUAAUUUUGCCAUAAUGAGAAUAUCUGGUAAAAUCUUAAGAUUGCUGAAUAAAAAAUAGGUAAACGUUUUCACUAAUAAUUAGGCUUAGAGGACUUUUUAUUUUAAUUUAAAUUACUAGCUAGAAAAAGAGUAGGUAAAAGUUAUGCACUAGGCUUCAUUGUUAUUAAUUCAGUUCCUUUUUUGAUACUGGCCUUGAGUUUGGUACUUCAGCUUCUGAGCUUUUAUCAAAAAUGGGGAAAAAUAAAUCCAUGAAAAGCUAAGCGUGUCCCUUUAAUUCUUGCUGAGUGAAGUAACAUUUCAAAUGUGCAGUUGCCUUAUGCUGUUCACAACAUGCACUGAACAGAGUCUGAGAAUAACAUUAAAUUCCAACACUAAUCUCCUUCUUUUGAAUUCCCAUGGCAGUUUAUCUGUGCAUUAUGACUAACCUCUUUCUCUCUUCUUUUAUAGUUACUUAUGUAUGUGUCUCAUAUCCAAGCACAUUUUAUAAGCUGCUUGAAGACAGGUUUUCUAUCUGUUUCCUCUUGGAAACCUCUGCCAAGAGCUAGCAGAGUGUUUUAUAUAGUAAGUGCUCAGAAAUGAAAAUGCAUUAAAUGAAAAGCAUAUUAGGACAUUGGUUAGUUGUACAAACCACAGUAAAUAGUACAAGGUAAAUCAAGUUUUACUGACCAAGGAGAGAUCAGUGUAAAAACCUAAUAUAAGUAUCAUAAGGAAUGUCUUGUUUAAAUAAUUGUUUUUUAGGGAAACUUGAAACAUAUAGCACUGCUAAGCUAUUUUGCAUAGAAAACUUUAUGCAAGCCAAAAUUAUCCUUGUUUUAAAGAUAAACAUCAGGGACACACCUGAUUUCCUUUCCAGAUCACAAAUUAAUGAAUGAUUUAUUUUAGUAAGAUAGAACUUGAAAGAUAUUCCUCCUCUUUUCUUGUACAGACGCAAUACAACAUAGAAAGUAACAUACUUGUGACAUAUAGCAAGAUAAAAUGGUUGUAAAAUAAUGAAUGCUUCCCUCCCUUUGUUGUAAGAAAUAAAAUUUGUCUUGGGACUUAACAUCCCAAGCCUGGGGUACUCUACUCUCCUGGCGACAGUACUUCCAAUCUAUCUUUUGAAAUGAAGGAAAGUUAUUACAAGUUUAAUAGUCAAGAGGCAUUUUAAAGCUCUGACACAGUUGUCCAUAUGUGAACUAAAUGUUCUGACCAGUGGUUCUUCCUCACAUUUAAAUUUAAACCCCUUAACGUCUUGCUUAUCAUUGAGAAACUGUGUUCUUUUAAAAUGUGACUAAAUAUUUAACUUUGUUUUAAAAAAUAGGCAAGUAAUUUUAGGCCAAGAGACGAAUAUUUAACUUUGUUCCUUAGAAGAUUCUACUAUUUACAUUCCAUCAAAUAAAACACUAAUACUGAAUUUCGACCUGCUUCAUAAAUCUGAAGCCAUUUUUUUUUACAAAUAACAUAUCUGAAAUAUUUAACCCAUUCUUAGACAGGACCUAUAUUUUUCACUGUUAUUUCACAUUUUAUCUGAAGAGUCCAUUAAUGAAUGUGUUGCCUCUUCAAGAGCAAGAGUAUGGGCUGGCCUGGUGUCGCAGUGGUUAAG